rnacentral:tRNA from 1 species
AGUGGGGUGCCUGACAAAAAGGACUAUUUUGAUAGAAUAGAUUAUGAAAGCUUUCCCCCACUG